CCCUUAGAUGUCCUGGGCCGCACGCGCGCUACACUGACAUGUUCAACAAGCCUCCUAGUUCGACAGGAUUUGGGAAAUCUUUGAACGCAUGUCGUGAUAGGGAUAGAUCAUUGCGAUUAUUGAUCUUGAACGAGGAAUUCCUAGUAAACGCGAGUCAUCAGCUCGCAUUGAUUACGUCCCUGCCCUUUGUACACACCGCCCGUCGCACCUACCGAUUGAAUGUUUCGGUGAAGAUUCCGGAUAGGACUUUUUUGAUUUAUUUCAAUUUUGUCUUAAAAGCUAUCUAAACCUCAACAUUUAGAGGAAGGUGAAGUCGUAACA
rnacentral:rRNA from 1 species